rnacentral:rRNA from 1 species
AGGGUUCGAUUCUGGCUCAGGAUGAACGCUGGCGGCGUGCUUAACACAUGCAAGUCGAACGGGAUCCAUCAGGCUUUGCUUGGUGGUGAGAGUGGCGAACGGGUGAGUAAUGCGUGACCGACCUGCCCCAUGCACCGGAAUAGCUCCUGGAAACGGGUGGUAAUGCCGGAUGCUCCAUCACAUCGCAUGGUGUGUUGGGAAAGCCUUUGCGGCAUGGGAUGGGGUCGCGUCCUAUCAGCUUGAUGGCGGGGUAACGGCCCACCAUGGCUUCGACGGGUAGCCGGCCUGAGAGGGCGACCGGCCACAUUGGGACUGAGAUACGGCCCAGACUCCUACGGGAGGCAGCAGUGGGGAAUAUUGCACAAUGGGCGCAAGCCUGAUGCAGCGACGCCGCGUGAGGGAUGGAGGCCUUCGGGUUGUAAACCUCUUUUGUUAGGGAGCAAGGCACUUUGUGUUGAGUGUACCUUUCGAAUAAGCACCGGCUAACUACGUGCCAGCAGCCGCGGUAAUACGUAGGGUGCAAGCGUUAUCCGGAAUUAUUGGGCGUAAAGGGCUCGUAGGCGGUUCGUCGCGUCCGGUGUGAAAGUCCAUCGCUUAACGGUGGAUCCGCGCCGGGUACGGGCGGGCUUGAGUGCGGUAGGGGAGACUGGAAUUCCCGGUGUAACGGUGGAAUGUGUAGAUAUCGGGAAGAACACCAAUGGCGAAGGCAGGUCUCUGGGCCGUUACUGACGCUGAGGAGCGAAAGCGUGGGGAGCGAACAGGAUUAGAUACCCUGGUAGUCCACGCCGUAAACGGUGGAUGCUGGAUGUGGGGCCCGUUCCACGGGUUCCGUGUCGGAGCUAACGCGUUAAGCAUCCCGCCUGGGGAGUACGGCCGCAAG